CUCCAUAGGCUGCAGUGCCCCUUAGCACCAGAAGGCCCACCCCAUAGAUAGCUCUGCUCCUCAGCACCCCCAACUCUAGUCCCCAACAGACAGUUCCAGCCCCCCCAACUCUAGUCCCCUCUCCCACUGUAGACCCUCCACCCCACACACUUCCUGGUGCAGGACCACCCCAAUCUCUUCACUCCCACUGCCCCUGUCAGCUCCAGCUCCUCCCCUGCUCCAGACCCCCGCAUCCCAGCUUAGAUCGCUCCAGGCCCCUUCCACUUCCUAGGUCUGCCCAUUACCUGCUUUUGCCCUCUCGGGACCCCUAGCCUCUUAGCCUCAGCUUCACCCUCCCCCCCCCCCCAUUUCCUUGCUGUAAAUCCUUCCUCUGGAGCUAGGCCCCUUAAGCCCCUGGAGAUUACCUUCUGCCCACUUCAGUUGCCCACCUACAACCCCAGCUCCAUGCCCUUCUGCACUUCUAGGCAGCUACCAGAGACUUCCUGGGAGGAAGCGGAGACCAGGCCUGCCACAUGGACAUAGAUGCACUGAGCAGUCCUUGGGACUGUUCUUGUUCUUCUUCCAGUUGCGAGGAGGAGCCAUAUGGAGGGCUAGCAGUGUCGGAACUCUUGGCUGGUGCUACCAAGUCCUUGUGCAGUCAGGAAGAGGAGGGACGUAAGAAGCAGCAGAGCCAUCAAGGGACUGGAGCAGGAGUUCCACAGCAGGAUGGUUCAUGGAUGAAUAUUGCUUUCACCCACUCGCAAGUGUCCAGAGCCUCUGCUGAGGGGGAGAGCCAUCUUCAGGCACCAAAGAAAAAGGUGGCAAGCAGGAGUGUGGACCAGAAGAACCCUCCAUUUGAGGACUUUAAGGGAACUUUGAUAGAUCAAGACCCCAAAGAUGCUAAAUCUCAUCAACAUUCCGUGAAGAAUCAGAGAGCCUUUGUUUACCAGCCCAGCUCAACAGAACACGCUCAAGGAGAUCCACCACCACUGGCUAAACUGGCCGUAGCACCAGCUGAAAAAAGAGAGGCGUGUGACAACUCAGAGGCUCCGUCUGAGAUCAAAAGUCCGAGGCAGAUGCAGCCCCUUGCCAAGAGCACACAAACUGAAGAAUCCUCUCCAAACCAGACCCAGCCGCCCUGCUUCCCAGAUGGCAGAGGGAACAAGAACAGCUUUGGGCUUGAGAAGAGGAACUCUCCCCCUCCACUGGGAGGAGCAGGAAGGAAGUGGGCAGAGGGCUCUGAAGUGGACCGUGAAGAGGAACUGAAAGAGGUAAUGGACCAUCUGUACCCACUUGCAUGGAGGCCACCCAAAGCCUUCUGUAGCUUCAUGUGGCAGUUCCCAAUUGAGUACAGCACAGGACUCUGAGAGCCCUAUUUCGAUAUAUAUGUGUCUGAGGCAACCUCCCUGUGCCUAGCCACUACAGCAGGCCCUAGAUACAUCCAUGCAUCCAUAAUGUAGUGCACAAAUUAACAGUAGUGAUCUAUAGACGUGGCCGGUGCUCGUGUAAUUGAUUCCAAAAUGGUAUGUUUUAAAUAUCAGUAUCCCUCUGUGGGGCGCAGAUCCACAGAGCCAGCUAGACUGGAGAGCUGUAUUUUGUAGAGCUCAAUGGUUCUCACACUGGUCUCUGGUCUCCAGUUACAGCAAGGCUUCAAGCGGCGUUGGAGCCCCGUCGGUGAAUACUUAACUCAUCCAAAAAGCCUCUGGAGACUCUCAACUCUGCAUCCUGUGCAGCUGCUUCAUGGCCUCUGCAAGCUGUCCGGGGGCAUUCUCUAGGAACCUCUGGUUUUUAUUUAGCCUUUGAUCAGCUCCAUCUGUUCUGCUCUUGUGUUUCAAUCCCUAUAAUGGAAGCAGUCGGCUGCUGGAGUGACAAGAGUGAGAGAAAGCAGAGCAGGGUGUGUUUGGUGUAAACGCCGCUGCGAUCGAAUUGGCACAUGAUGCCAAAAGUGGCCAUGACGGCGAAUGCUCAGUAGGAGAGACCCCGGCUGCAGAAGGCUCUGAAGAGGUGAGAGCCAGGCCGGCCUCAGGCUGUGAUUGAGGAGCCAGAGAGCUUAGUUUACA
ensembl:lncRNA